AUUGAACGCUGGCGGCAGGCCUAACACAUGCAAGUCGAACGAGUGGCGGACGGGUGAGUAAUGUCUGGGAAACUGCCUGAUGGAGGGGGAUAACUACUGGAAACGGUAGCUAAUACCGCAUCCCAUCAGAUGUGCCCAGAUGGGAUUAGCUAGUUGGUGGGGUAACGGCGCACCAAGGCGACGAUCCCUAGCUGGUCUGAGAGGAUGACCAGACCACAUGGAACUGAGACAAGGGCCAGACUCCUACGUGAGGCAGCAGUGGGGAAUAUUGCACAAUCGGCGCAAGCCGGAUGCAGCCAUGCCGCGUGUAUGAAUAAGGCCUUCUGGUUGUAAAGUACUUUCAGCGGGGAGGCGUUACCCGCAGAAGAAGCACCGGCUAACUCCGUGCGAGGAGCCGCGGUAAUAC
rnacentral:rRNA from 1 species